GGAGGAGAUGCCCAAGUGAGGUGUCCCCGCGGUCCAUGCCCACAGCCCUCCGAGUUGAUUUGCCCGCCGGGAUGGUCAGGGUUUGAGAGCCGCUGCUUUCGGUUUGUUCCUUCUGAGACAACUUGGGCCAAUGCUGAGCGCAACUGUAUGGCCA